UACGUAGGGGGCAAGCGUUGUCCGGAAUCAUUGGGCGUAAAGCGCGUGUAGGCGGUCCGGUAAGUCGGUUGUGAAAGUCCAGGGCUCAACCCUGGGAUGCCGAUCGAUACUGCCGGACUAGAGUCCGGAAGAGGCGAGUGGAAUUCCUGGUGUAGCGGUGAAAUGCGCAGAUAUCAGGAGGAACACCUAUUGCGAAGGCAGCUCGCUGGGACGUAACUGACGCUGAGACGCGAAAGCGUGGGGAGCAAACAGG
rnacentral:rRNA from 1 species